rnacentral:misc_RNA from 1 species
AGCUCUUCUUCAUCUUGACAUCAAUAUGGUUGAAUCAGUUCUACUAUAUCUUUGGCUUCCUCUUCAUAGUGUUUGUUAUCCUUUUGAUCACUUGUGCAGAGAUAACAAUUGUGCUCUGCUACUUCCAGUUAUGCAGUGAAGACUACCACUGGUGGUGGAGAUCUUACCUGACUGCUGGCUCUUCUGCUCUGUACCUUUUCCUCUACUCGGUGUUCUACUUCUUUACCAAAUUGGAAAUCACUAAGUUGGUUUCCGGAAUCCUCUACUUCGGGUAUAUGAUAAUCAUAUCUUAUGCUUUCUU